GACGAACCGUCCUAACGUUGUUCGGAAUCACUGGGCUUAAAGGGCGCGUAGGCGGGCCAUCAAGUCCGGGGUGAAAGCCCCCAGCUCAACUGGGGAAGUGCCUUGGAGACUGGUGGUCUAGAGGGAGGUAGGGGCCUGUGGAACUUCGGGUGGAGCGGUGAAAUGCGUUGAUAUCCGAAGGAACGCCGGUGGCGAAAGCGACGGGCUGGAUCUCUUCUGACGCUGAGGCGCGAAAGCCAGGGGAGCAAACGGG
rnacentral:rRNA from 1 species